GAAUUCCAAGUGAAGUUCAAGGCUGUUAGGCGUUUGCUAAUGAAGCACUCAAAUUGAAACCUCCUCGAAGAACCGUUUUUACCGCUAACCAUGCAACCAAUUGUGUUUUCUUUCAAACUGCUGAGGCAAUGUUUCCUGGAAGCCCAAAAACAGACAACGAAGAAAAACAAAAAUAAAAUCGACAACAAACAAGAGAAAAACACUAAAAAAGGCAACCUUGUUAGCACUUGGGGCAAAGUCGGUGGACUCGAAAUGCACCCACAAGAAAUGCAACAAACUUGUGGCAAUUUACAUAACAAGACCAGCUCCCAAGGCGAGAGGCAGACAAUCAGUGGCGCUACAGCAACCCAAAGCCUGUCAACGCAUAAUCCAUCAAACAGCAAUGUACAGCAACAACAACAUCAGGAAGUUGUCACACUUCAUCAAGAGUCCAUUCCUAACUCAAUACACGUCGAUCCGAA
rnacentral:sRNA from 1 species